UACGUAGGGUGCGAGCGUUAAUCGGAAUUACUGGGCGUAAAGGGUUCGUAGGUGGCUGGCUAAGUCAGACGUGAAAUCCCUCAGCUUAACUGGGGAACUGCGUCUGAGACUGGUCAGCUUGAGUGCAGGAGAGGAACGCGGAAUUCCAGGUGUAGCGGUGAAAUGCGUAGAUAUCUGGAGGAACACCGGUGGCGAAGGCGGCGUUCUGGACUGCAACUGACACUGAGGAACGAAAGCCAGGGGAGCAAACGGG
rnacentral:rRNA from 1 species